rnacentral:miRNA from 1 species
AUGUAUGCAUGUAUGUAUGUAUGUAUGUAUGUAUGCAUGUAUGCAGCUUGUGUG